rnacentral:rRNA from 1 species
UAGUCCACGCCGUAAACGAUGAGUACUAAGUGUUGGGGGUCAAACCUCAGUGCUGCAGUUAACGCAAUAAGUACUCCGCCUGAGUAGUACGUUCGCAAGAAUGAAACUCAAAGGAAUUGACGGGGGCCCGCACAAGCGGUGGAGCAUGUGGUUUAAUUCGAAGCAACGCGAAGAACCUUACCAGGUCUUGACAUACCUCUAAAAGCCCUAGAGAUAGGGAAAUAGCUAUAGAGGAUAC